AUUGAACGCUGGCGGUAUGCUUUACACAUGCAAGUCGAACGGAUUAAAGAGCUUGCUCUUUAGUUAGUGGCGAACGGGUGAGUAAUAUAUCGGAACAUAUCCGGAAGUGGGGGAUAACGUAGCGAAAGUUACGCUAAUACCGCAUAUGCCCUGAGGGGGAAAGGGGGGGAUCGCAAGACCUCUCGCUUUCGGAGUGGCCGAUAUCGGAUUAGCUAGUAGGUGAGGUAAAGGCUCACCUAGGCGACGAUCCGUAGCUGGUCUGAGAGGACGACCAGCCACACUGGAACUGAGACACGGUCCAGACUCCUACGGGAGGCGGCAGUGGGGAAUUUUGGACAAUGGGCGAAAGCCUGAUCCAGCCAUACCGCGUGAGUGAAGAAGGCCUUCGGGUUGUAAAGCUCUUUCAGCCGGAAAGAAAUCGCACUUGGCUGACGGUACCUUGCGAAUAAGGGGUUGCUAACUCUGU
rnacentral:rRNA from 1 species